rnacentral:lncRNA from 1 species
GGCGACCAAACGAGAUUAUCACUCAUGGAAGAGCAGCUCAAGAACAUCUUACGUGGCUGCGAUGACGAGGACAGUGAGAAGGUGGCUCGCACGAGUUUCUCCAUGGGGUUCACCCACGUUGAUCGAAGGCUGCACCAAAUGUUCUUUGCUGACAGGGACUACGAAGGCGGCGGGGUGACCACCGCCGAUCAGGUUGACCAUACGCCGUCGUUCAAGCCUGAGAUCACAGUUGAGCGUCUCGAAGAUAAGGGGUAUUCAGUUGUGAAUGUCAAGUGCAGAGACCGGGCCAAGC